rnacentral:lncRNA from 1 species
GCGCCCCGCAGGAGCCUCCUCCUCCCGCCGGCGCGGCGCCUGUGCCCUGGUCCCGGUGUCCCCGCUCGGUGCCACCGAAGGAUCUAGGGGCUCGGGCCGGGGAGGGGGUGGAGGGGGGAGUGGAGGCGCGAUACGAACCCGUGGGAGCCUCCCCAACCCCGCAGUCCCAGCGGCAAACUGUGCUUGGUCGGACGGAUGCCCGCGCGGAGGGGUAGCCACGGGAGUGCCUCCGCCCAUGACAGCAGUGUGCAGGAAGCUGACCUGGAGCUGGGAAGCCGGGAGAAGGCACGUGGGGUUCCACCUAGAUAAACCCCAAAAAGACAGCUCCAGUGAGGGACUAGCAAACCUGAGACCAG